ACGAUAGACUAUACACACAAUAACACCGCGAACCCAAAACCACAAGACACGACAACCACCCCUGACCACUGGAACAAGCCGCAGCUAACAUCGCAAACGCAACUCAGACGCACCCAAGACGAUGCAACUGACAACAGAGACCAAACGAAACACACAUAAGCAAACAACAAAACGGUCCUGACGUCUAACGGAGAACACACACCCAACACUCAGACUAUAGUACAAAGAAAGGCUUGUGCCACUCUUUCUUGUGUGACACUCUAGCAGCAGGCAACCUUACUGCAGGCCUAUAGUAUGUAAAAACCACCAAAUCAGAAACCAAACGAGAAACUACACUGCUCAAACGCUCAUAAAACUGCACCAAACCCUGAGGCCUGACAUAACCUCAAAACCAGAAUUACCGCCCGAACAGCGACCUUCGCUGUGAGGAUGUAAACUCAAUUGUAUAUACUAUGAG